UUUUAAACUAACUACCAAUACUUGAUUGUUUUUAUUUCCGAUAAACUUUUUAAAAUAAACGCUGACUCACCAGUUCUCGUUUCUCGUCCAGAAUUUUCCUUAGAAGUGGUAGAGCGCAUACCCAUGGCUAAAAAUGAUAGGCUACCUUUUUUUACCUAGACAUUCGAGAUCGGCUCUCUCACUAUUUAUCGUAUCUUAAUCUGAAGGAGAUGCAACCCUACUUUAUCAAAAAAUACUUUGAAGCAUGGCACAAUGGAUUCUACGGUGUGAUCAUACAAGCAGCCCCGGAUGAGCAACUGAUGAAGGCAAACUCUCUGUCUGUCUCUUCGACGCAGAACAGGUGACAGUCCUCAGAGUCCGCUCUUUAAUAUAAAGAAUAGUUUUAUAUUUAAUACUUCAUUAAAAAUCAAAAAUAUUUUUUUUUACUUAGUAGUAGGGUGAAAGCAGUGACUAACUCAUUAGAAUACUCUAGGUAGAAUUUUCAUUUCAUCUUAUAUUCUCUUACGACUCGGAAAACCGUUGGAACUAAAGAAUUUUUUUGCAAAGUUAAGAAAAAGUAAGCUUUGAAAUGUGUAAUAAUAAUAAUUUGAAUGUAAAGUUAUCGCUAAUUUUCCUAGCGAGAUCCAUGAUAAUGUCAGUCAGGACAUCCCCUACGCAUUAUUUUCCGUUUGUUAUCAGAUAAUGUAUUUAUAUAAAUACCAAAAUUUAAUCUGAACGAUUAAACUAAGAAGCUACAAAACAAGUAGUCAACAUGAAAACAAUGAUUUCUUUCUUUUUUGCCAUGACGGUGGCUCUGCUGAUGGCACAGAGCGUAGUUUCCGAGCAAAAUCAACAACCUGACGUGUUGGACUUGGAGUAUCCAGCUUUAUUUCGGCAGGCAGCUAGCGAUAUCUCUCCACCGAUUGUACGAUCUUGUAACCAUGGCCAAUGUCAGCGUCUGUGCAUAAAUAUGGGAUAUAGAUAUGGAUACUGCAUGUCCAUUACUACUUGUCGCUGUUUCCGUUGAAUACGAUAUUUUAGUCGCCACAAAAAGUCAUUGAACUUAGGGACAUUGUUAUAAGUAAUUCAUAAUGUAAAAAAUUGUUACUUUAUUUUUUGUAUAAUGUUUGUUUUUCUGAAUCUUGGAAGUCUGCAAUAAACAAAAUUAAUAAAAAAAUAUGAAAUGCU